GGGCUCGUCACAUGCCCCAAGGUUGCAGGGCGGAGCGCCGGCGCCUGGAAGGCUGGGGAGCCCCUGGUGCGCACCUGAGCGGGGAGCGGGGUGCAGCGCCCCCUCCUGGUCGGUGAGCGCCGGGCCGGGCACCUCCCGCGCGCCUGGCCAGGUGGCUUCGGAGCGCGGGGCUGGGCGCGCUCUCUCGACUCCCGGCCCCCGCGACCGCUCUGGGCAAGGGCGGCGGCGGCGACAGGCUCCGGGCGCGACGCUGCUCCGUGGUCAGGUCCGGUUGUGGGUGCCGACGGCCGGCCUGGGGUCACCGGACUAGGCUGCACUCGCCACGCGUAGGCGCUGGGGACCCGCUGGGGACUCGCCGAGGUGCGCUCGGGCGGACUCUGGGAGAGCAGCGCCCCCUCGCCCGGGCCGGCGGCCGCGGGGAGCUCGGGCCCGCCGCCCCUCCGCCUCAAGUCUGGGCGCUCCCAGCCCCAUUCAGCCGCUGCCUAUGGGGAUCCGAGAGUUUCCCGGCGGCGCGCCCAGGGGCAAGAGCAUCGCCAUGUGAGUAGCGCCCCGGCGCGGGGACGCGAGGGGAAGGCGAGGGCCCUCUGCAACCGGGACCGGGCGGCCCGGGGUCCAGGAGGGGCAGUGUGAGCCGCUCGUGAAGUUUAAGGCACCGUCUCGCUCGCCGCCCGCCCCAACCUGCAUCGCCCGACUAGCCCAGCGGAGGCGCGGGAGAGGGGACACGGGGACGCAACGCCCGGGCUCCGCGGGAGUGCAGGGGGCGGCGAGGGGGCAGCCCGGCCCUGCAGCGCCCGGGAGGGAAGCCCCGGCCCCGGCUGCGCCCUGCUCGCCCAGAGCCCUGUGCCUCACCGAAAUGCCCCUCUCUGCCCUUGACCCUCUCCCCGCCUGCCCCGGCGCCUGCGGCCCCAGUGGCAUGAGGAGGUCACCGGACGUCAGCCCCCGGAGACUGUCAGACAUCAGCCCCCAGCUCAGGCAGCUGAAGUACUUGGUGGUGGACGAGGCCAUCAAGGAGGACCUGAAAUGGUCGCGCUCGGUGGAAGACCUCACCAGCGGGCCCGUGGGGCUCACGUCCAUCGAAGAGCGGAUUCUGCGCAUCACUGGCUAUUAUGGCUACCAGCCCUGGGCAGCGAGCUACAAAAGUGUUGUUGAGGACACUUGAACUGCAGCCUGCAUUGGAGGGGGCACCCUCAGGCCCCCAGAGUUGUCAGGAGGAGCAAAGGACAUGGACCACCAUGGAGUUAUAUGCACACCCCAGCUAUGUCCCUACAUAGAUAUAGGACAGAUUAUUCACCAUGAGUCUCUAAUUUAUCAUCUAUAUAAUAAAGAGUGGAC
rnacentral:lncRNA from 1 species